UCAGGAAUACCAUCAGAGGAGGGGUACUGUGAGUUUACUAGCAGACCAAAUGAGAACUGUUACUGCUGUCAACUUCUGUGACAACAAAAUGAACAAAAAAGAAAGGUAAACUUUGUGGUGUCAGCACUGUAGUAAGCAGAAAAUCUGUAAGGCUCCUAAGAACAUCCUGGUUGCUGGCAGCCAUUUCUUUAAGACUUUAUAUAGUGUUAAAAACUAAGAAAGCCCUAACCGAAAUAAUACUACCCACUUAGAUACUGCAGCAGUCAAAAUUUUUCAGUCCUUGUGGACUUCUUGUAUUCUGGUAACCUUGUACUCACAAGCCAAAAUAAUGACAGUGGCCUAUCUUCAAACAAGUGAAAUUUCAAACUUGCUGAAAUUUUAUUACAGAUGCCUAAAUUUAUUAAAGAUUAAAUAUAAGCAUUAAAUCAGAAGUUCCAUGGGUCUGCAGUUGUGGACUAUAAUAAUAGAAAACCAGUUAAUAGAGAUGGUCUGUCUUCAUCAUUGGAUCAAAAAAUUGCCAAUUUUUGGGCAACAUUAAAUCUUACCAAUUUGGCAAGUAAUAUAAAAACUGAAAAUGAUGGCUGUAAUGUCAACAAGGGCCAAACAGAAAACUACCAAGUGAGUGACAAUAGUUGGGUCCAGAAUGCAUCUCCUGAAAUGGCUGAAAACAAAUCCAAAGGUCAAACAAGUGUUUGCUUGGAAUAAUAUGGGCUCCCAGGGAAUUCAAGAAACUGGGAAACACGGAGGAAAAACCAAACUACAAGGAGAUUUAUUUAUAAUACAUCAUCUAAUAAUGAAACAAAUUUGGAAGAUUACUCAAUGAUGCAGCCAUCUAUUGCCUUUUCAGAGGAAAAUACGCUACUCAUAUUUGAGUAGAAAUCUUGGAAGAACCAGAUUUGGAUGUUGCUCUACUUUCAGGGCCAGAUGAUGAUAAGAAUGUAUUGGCUGAAGCUGGGUCUAAUCAAGAUGGAGGUGAUGUUAGAACUUCACAUGAUUUUAUAAUAAGUAUGGUUUGAUGCCUGGCACUUCAAGUGACUUCAAGUAUGAAUUGAUACCAGAUACUUUGAUUUCAAAUAUGGAUUAUUGCCAGAAUCUUGGCCAAAACAAGAAACUUGGGAAAAUGGUGAAUCAUCUCUAAUCAUGAAUAAGUUAAAAUGCCAUCAUUGUAGCUAUGCAGCCAAAUGCAAACAAACACUAAAAAAGCACUUGCUUAUUCAUACAGGAGUGAGAUCAUUUAGCUGUGACUUUUUACACUUGGAGAAAACAUGUAAGAAAACAUUUCUUGGUGCACAAGAAGGAUAAAAAUGCAAAUGUAUGGUAUGUAAGAUCAUGUUAGCAGCCAGUGUUGGAGUAAGACAUGGAUCUUGACCCUAUGGUUUUUGUGUAGACUGUUCCAAUAAAUCACAACCAGGAAGGCCAGCAAGUGUAGAUGAGAGACAGGAUACAGAAUCCCUCAUGAUAAAGACUAUGAGGAGAAUGAAGUAGGAGAAGCUGAUGAAAAGUGGGUGGAUGAUGGAGAUCAGAAUGAUCCAUCUCAAUGAGAUGAAUUAGCAGAUGUUUGUAUGUCUCUAGAUAUUUAA
rnacentral:lncRNA from 1 species